GCUUAACACAUGCAAGUCGUACGAGAACUCUUCUGCUUGCAGAAGAUAGUAAAGUGGCGCACGGGUGAGUAACGCGUGGGUAAUCUACCUCUGAAUCGGGGAUAACUCCGCGAAAGCGAAGCUAAUACCGGAUAAUAUCGUUUUUUCUUAGGGAAUUAAGAUCAAAGGUGGUCUCUACAUGUAAGCUACUGUUUGGAGAUGAGCCCGCGUACCAUUAGCUUGUUGGUGGGGUAAUAGCCUACCAAGGCUUCGAUGGUUAGCUGGUCUGAGAGGAUGAUCAGCCACACUGGAACUGACACACGGUCCAGACUCCUACGGGAGGCAGCAGUGAGGAAUUUUGCGCAAUGGGGGAAACCCUGACGCAGCAACGCCGCGUGAGUGAUGAAGGCCUUCGGGUCGUAAAGCUCUGUCAAGUGGGAAGAAAAUGCUUGAUGUUAAUACCAUCUUGCACUGACGGUACCACUGAAGGAAGCACCGGCUAACUCCGUG
rnacentral:rRNA from 1 species